CCGACUAAAUGAUUGGUGGCAUAGGAAUAAUGUAGUUGUCUCCAAUGCAAACACCGGCAGUGUGAAUUAAUUCUGAUCAUCCGAAGCAAUCCGAAGUAAUUUCAUCUCAGUAAUGUGUCAAUUCUAGGCUAGGUGGCGCAAGCUACCGCCCGCUCCAAUGGGAAAAGCCACAGUAGCCACUGUAGUAGCCACUAGCCAUCCAUCCAUCAAAGAUGGCGGCGCGCCGACUUGUGUCGAGUGUUUGGAAGUAAAAAGUUCCCCCUUUUUUUGUAGUUUUUGAGGACCCUCAUCGAAGACUACUACUACUAUGGCCUACUGCUGUGUGCCUCUGUGCAAAUCUGAUGGGAAAAGACCAAUUCCAGGAGAGAAAAUCACGUUCCAUGAAAUACCCGCGCAACUGGAUAUUCGGGAGAAGUGGUUGGCUGCUAUCCGAAGGGAUGACUGGUCACCAAACUCAACCUCAAACUACUCGAAAGUAUGCAGCAGACAUUUUCUUGCUUCGGACUUCCUGGAAGGCAAGAGGCGGCGACUUAAGAAGGAUACUGUCCCAUCUGUCUUCAAAAACUUCCCAUCCUACCUCCAACCAAAGGUCACGAAGGAAAGGAGCGAGACUAGCAUCCGAAAGCGGGCACGUUCACCUCCACCCGCUGUACCCAAGAAAAGGAUCCGCUGCGAAGCUGAGUCACCACAAGGAGUAGGAGAAGUCUCAAAUGAGCUGCACACGCAGGAGACCACGUACGACCUUGCACCAUGUCCUGCCAAACAGAACUCUAGCCAUUAUGAAAGCGCAGGAGGGCCUGACACCUCUACCAUGAGAGGAACUAAGGUUCGCUGUGGUGGCGGCCUGUCGUCAACACCAGCAGUAGCAUUGCUAACGAGAGAUCAGUCAACCCAGGCAGACAUACGGAAGACGCAAUACGCCACUCAGCUGGGGCACCGUAGGUGUACUCGGAAAGCUAGAGACUUGAGAAGGCAGGUCGAACGACUGCGAAGAACAGUCGACAGCUAUAAAAUGGAGCUGGAGAAACUAUGCGAAGACCAAGAUGUGGGAACCUUCUUGUACAUCAGAAACAAGGCUGCAGAUAAUGAUAGUCAGGCGACAUUAAUCAUAGAUCAAGUGCGAAACUUCCUUGCGAAGCGGAAUCUAUCCUGCGCAAACUGAAUGAGACAAGACAAGACUACCUGCCUAGCCUUUAACUGUCAACCCACGUUGGGGCUACAUUGCUCGCGUCGUGACUGAAAAGGUGCACUGCGAAAGCUGUUGUCAGCUUGUGCUUAAGGCGAAGUCGAACCAGGCUGCUCAGGGGCUGACAAUACCAUACCUGCCAACUCUCUCGGAUUAUCCGGGAGACUCCCGAAUUUCGUUCAGCCUCCCGAUUGUACAGAUACGCCAUCCAAUCUCUCGGGAAAAUUGGGACCUUUGGGCUUUUCUUCUUCAUUUCAUUUCGUUUUUCAUUCAAAGCUUCACAGACACAUUCCUGAAGGAUUAAGACAGCCUGUAACAUGUGCUUCACGACAUGACUCUCAGUGGCUGGAGGUCGCACCAGAUCGCAUGUUUCAUUGUGUCUGUGCUUCUCCAAAAGACAUGCUAUCGUCCUAUCUUCAGACCUGUCUCGUACGAUAGUUCCGUCACCUCCGAUGGUGCACUCCAAAACGAAGGAAUACCUGCAGAUGUUCCUCAUAUGUGCAAAGUGCCUUUUCGCAGGUUUUCUGGUUGAGCACAACCAGACAACGCCUCUCCAUAAUUGUGGUUGACGGACGAAGCGAUAGGGCGCCGCAGCCCCACCUGAUAGUGGCUACUAAUGACGUAGAGGAGUCGCAAUACAGUGGCAAUGGUAUUUCAGGUGCACAAAGUUAAUGAGUUCCCCCCCCCCCAUACCCCCUUGCACGGCGGGCAGUCUUCCGAAUUUUAAGUUCGUCAAGUUGGCAGGUAUGCAAUGUAUCAACAUCGAGGGGGGCUCCUGUACCCCUUAGAUGACCUUGUUUACAUGCUGUGCGUUUUGAGGCAAUUUGCUGAAGGUGGUGCUCUCCAGUCAACCGAAACCAUCAAAACCACUGGGCACGCUGCUGCGCUUUGCAGUGCCUGUAGUCUGUGAGUGCCCCCUACUACAACACCCAGAAAACACUAGGGAGCACAGACUUGAGCUUGUACAGUUGAUCUGCUCGAAGUUUUUCUGGCCACUUCUUACAAAUAAUGCGUUCCAUGUAACCGACAGAAAUGACGCCACAAAAACUUCUGUCAGGAGGCCCCUCUCAAGAGAAUACCUGACACUGAAGUGACUUCUGGCUUUCCAGAAUGUACAAGCAGAACUCACUUCCACUAGAGUAUUCCAGUGCUCAGGCUCUCUACCUGUUACACAUCUUGUGGCAGUUCACUACAUUGCGCUACAAUUACUGCAUAUUUUCUUCCCUUUCCUGGAGUGUUGUACUUGUGUGCUAUUCUUUCCCAUGCUGUUUUUUUUUUUUUUGCAAGAAGUUGUACGCAUAUAAAAACAGACAAGCUGCGUCAAUUUAUUUUGAGUGGCCUACUGCACUCAUUUACUUUCAGUUUUAAAGAUCUUGUACGUGGCUACAGCUUCACACACGGGUUCACAUUCUGCGUGGCUGGCAUAGGGGCGUCUGCAUUUUGUCAACAGGUGGUCAAAACAGAAUCUCACCGAAGUUCAUUUUCAUGCAAGAAAGGCAAGCUGGACAGUGCAUCGCGAAUCACCUAUGAAACACAGAAGAGCAUAAUCGCUAUGGAGACCAGUGCUUCAAGAUGUUUUUGUCGGUGCUGUGUGGAUAUUGGGGAUACAUAUCCCUACGAAUUUACUCAUUAUGGAUUUAUGUUGUGUGUGUUGAUGAGGGACAUGCUUUCAAAACAUGUAAGUGCCGAAUCAAGUUUCAACUGUUGUUUUUUUUUAAUAGGUCUUGCUAGCGAUUUUCAACUGCUUGGUGAAUAUCACACUUAUACAAAACAUAUGAAAUAACUUUCACCUUUAUGUCUGCCACUUGUAAUUUUUCACAUCUACUGUAUUGUUACAUAUGUAAGAAUAAAUGUUUACGCAGAAAUGGCA